rnacentral:lncRNA from 1 species
GUCCAUUGAUCAGAAUAUCAUCAUACCUCUUCCUUCUUUCUUCAUCCUUUAAAAUCUCAUAGAUAGCCACCAAUUGCCUAAACUGUGUUUCUGCAUUUUCAUCUUUGUUCUUGUCUGGGUGUAAAAUCAGCGAAAGCUUCCUAUAUGCUUUCCGAAUAUCUGCUGAUGAAGCAUCCUGCUGCACCCCCAGGAAGUCGUAGAAGUUGCGCGGCACCUCCUCCACCAGGUCGAACAGCUCCAGGUCGCCGCUGUCCCAGGCGCGGCCGCGGGGCAGCAGCAGCGCCAGCAGCGCCAGCAGCAGCGGCGGGCUGCCCAUGGCCCCGGCGCGGACGUGGCCGGGCGAGCGCAGCUGAGGCGGCGCGGCGCCGGCAGCCGCU